rnacentral:rRNA from 1 species
AACGAACGCUGGCGGCAGGCUUAACACAUGCAAGUCGAACGCUCCGCAAGGAGAGUGGCGCAAGGGUGAGAAACGCGUGGGAAUUUGCCUUUUGGUUCGGAAUAACCACAGGAAACUGUGACUAAUACCGAAUGGUCCCUUCGGGUAAAGAUUUAUCGCCAAAAGAUGAGCCCGCGUCAGAUUAGCUAGUUGGUGGGGUAACGGCCGUACCAAGGCAACGAUCUGUAGCUGGUCUUAGAGGACGAUCAGCCACACUGGAACUGAGACACGGUCCAGACUCCUACGGGAGGCAGCAGUGGGGAAUAUUGGACAAUGGGGCGAACCCUGAUCCAGCCAUGCCGCGUGAGUGAUGAAGGCCUUCGGUUG